UUUAGUAAGGUUAAGUAAAACUAAAAUGAUUUAUAUUAAAUUGGUAGCAGACAGACAUAUGACGCGAGGCCAUAUGUCAAAAGGGAAACAGCCCAGACCAUAAGCUAAAGUCCCUAAUUCAAUAUUAAGUGAAAAGGUUUUUUUAAAUAAUAUUCAUUAGUAAGUUUGCUUAGAGGCAGCAAUCUUUUAAAGAAAGCGUAACAGCUCGCUAAUGUUAGUUUAAAAUACUGAAAAUUUAUAGGGGGCUAAAAUAUUGAACUGAAGCUAUGGAAUACUUUUUAGGUAAUUGGUAGCAGAAUGUUUUGUAAAUUGGAAGAUAAGUUGAUAAAAUUUAUUGGAAAUAUCAAAAGUAUGAAUGUUGGAGUUAGUAACUUAUAUCAAUGUAUAUAUUGAUAAUGAAAAUUAUCAAUAUAAAUCAUUGACGCCGAAAAACUAAGGGUUUCAUUAUAGAGUUAAUAAUAAUGAGUUAAUCGGACUCUAAGAUAAAGGUAAAUACCGUAAUUGAUGAGCC
rnacentral:rRNA from 1 species